GAGAUCGGGCGCGUGCAGGUCCAGCAGCAAGGGCAACUCGUCGGCGCUCGCGCACUCGGAGGCAACGAAGCCCAGCUCUUCAAGAGCCUCCGCGAGAAACGUGCGGAUGUGUCGCUUCGCGUCGACGAUGCAAACGCGCGGUGUAAUCUUGCGCUGGCCGAAUGUCGCGACCGUAUCCAAUUCCGCGGGCUUGAAACCCCUCAUACGUCACCUCCGUGNAAGUCUUAGCGUCAUGGAGUGGUCGCAAAUGUGGAAUUGUUGAACCGUCCACUUGUAUAAG
rnacentral:misc_RNA from 1 species